rnacentral:rRNA from 1 species
CCUACGGGAGGCAGCAGUGGGGAAUAUUGGGCAAUGGGCGCAAGCCUGACCCAGCCACGCCGCGUGAAGGAAGAAGGCUUUCGGGUUGUAAACUUCUUUUCUCAGGGACGAAGCAAGUGACGGUACCUGAGGAAUAAGCCACGUCUAACUACGUGCCAGCAGCCGCGGUAAUACGUAGGUGGCAAGCGUUAUCCGGAUUUACUGGGUGUAAAGGGCGUGUAGGCGGGACUGCAAGUCAGAUGUGAAAACCACGGGCUCAACCUGUUGCCUGCAUUUGAGACUGUAGUUCUUGAGUACUGGGGAGGCAGACGGAAUUCCUGGUGUAGCGGUGAAAUGCGUAGAUAUUAGGAGGAACACCAGUGGCGAAGGCGGUCUGCUGGACAGCAACUGACGCUGAGGCGCGAAAGCGUGGGGAGCAAACAGGAUUAGAUACCCCGGUAGUC